rnacentral:tRNA from 6 species
UGCUCUGUGGUGUAAUGGCAACAUCUCGCACUUUGAAUGCGAAGUAUUCCAGGUUCAAGUCCUGGCGGGGCAG